UGAAUCAUCGAAUCUUUGAACGCAUAUUGCGCUCUCUGGUAUUCCGGAGAGCAUGCUUGUUUGAGUAUCAGUAAACACCUCAACUCCCUCUUUUCUUUUUUGAAAUGAGGGAGCUGGACUUGAGUGAUCCCAACACUUUUCUUCACUGAAAAGUGGCGGGUCACUUGAAAUGCAGGUGCAGCUGGACUUUUCUCUGAGCUAUAAGCAUAUCUAUUUAGUCUGCCUAAAAAACAGAUUAUUACCUUUGCUGCAGCUAACAUAAAGGAGAUGAGUUCUUGUGCUGACUGAUGCAGGAUUCA
rnacentral:misc_RNA from 1 species